GAAGGACAAGGACCUCUCUUAGCACUUAAUAGAUGACGAUGCAUAGGGAGGUCUACAGAGGGUUAGAUCGUUAUGUCAUUGGCUCAUCACAGCAACCCCACGAGGUAUGUGCUAUUUUCCUCAGGAAAAUUAAAUGAAUUCUCAUAGAUUCCAACAUGUGCACAGCCAAGCCAAGACUUCAACCCCGUUCUGUCCAGUGCUCAAAACUCUUUCACCUUCAUUAUUUUGCAGGAAACAUGAGAAGAAGUGGGUGGAGACUAAAUCCCAGUUCUGUAGACCCUGGGAUGUCGGUGGCUGCAGAGCCAGAAUCCAGCACCAGAUCUUCUGUGCCAAGCCUUCUGUUCUGAAAGCCUUGCGGUCUCCAUCAUCCGUGAAAGCUGGACAGGGUUACAGAGAUGCUCCUCCUCCUUUUCCAGGUGACCCCAGGCAACAUUUACAGUUAUGACAGGUG
rnacentral:lncRNA from 1 species